ACUCCUACGGGAGGCAGCAGUGGGGAAUAUUGCACAAUGGGCGCAAGCCUGAUGCAGCCAUGCCGCGUGUGUGAAGAAGGCCUUCGGGUUGUAAAGCACUUUCAGUCGUGAGGAAGGCGGUGUAGUUAAUAGCUGCAUCGUUUGACGUUAGCGACAGAAGAAGCACCGGCUAACUCCGUGCCAGCAGCCGCGGUAAUACGGAGGGUGCGAGCGUUAAUCGGAAUUACUGGGCGUAAAGCGCAUGCAGGUGGUUUGUUAAGUCAGAUGUGAAAGCCCGGGGCUCAACCUCGGAAUUGCAUUUGAAACUGGCAGACUAGAGUACUGUAGAGGGGGGUAGAAUUUCAGGUGUAGCGGUGAAAUGCGUAGAGAUCUGAAGGAAUACAGUGGCGAAGGCGGCCCCCUGGACAGAUACUGACACUCAGAUGACGAAAAGCGUGGGGAGCAAAACAGGAUUAGAUACCCUGGUAGGAUAGCG
rnacentral:rRNA from 1 species